rnacentral:lncRNA from 1 species
GGUCUCUCCUCUUCCUCUGUCUCUGAGUCCUUAGGGAUCCUUGUAACACCCACCGUGUCAUUUAUCUUUGACUCUCAACUGCCCCCAGAGCACCAAGUGCUGAGCACAUGACUGUAAAAUGAGCAGAAACCUUUCGUGGUGAACAGGUGAAAAUGCCACAUCGCCGACAGCCAACAAGGAAGCGAGAAGCCGACUCACAGGGUGUGCAGAGUCUCUGCAGUGGGAACCCAGCAUGGCAGGCAAGGGGAGGCGUGUCACAUGCUGCAGCCUCUGGCUCAGGUCGUCCUCGAGGCCGGGAAGGCAGGGGUCCUGUGCUGACUUCUCCUGGGACAGCGCCGGGGUAGCACGCGUCAAGCCUUGUCCAGAGCCCACAGGCCCGAGGAGAGAAUGCCCCUCCUCCCAAGCUGUGUCUUCGGAGAGAGGCUGGAGCCAUCUGUUGUGUGUGGAGCAAUAAUCCUAAGUGUCCAGGCAGCUGCAGGGGUCAUUGUGACCUGCCUCGGCUCCAGCCAUGAAGACCAGAGCGAGUGGUGAGAGAGGGGCACAGCGCCGCCCCAGGCCCCACAGCUGGGGGUCACAUCGGAGUAAAGCACAGGCUGCUGAGGAAGAACCCGGCUUCCACAUCUCACCCCUGCCAGCAAGGUGCUCCCCAAGUUACCUGUCGGCUGGGGUAUCAGAACAUCCUCCUUUCUUUGUCCUCCGAGGAGAGAUUAGCAGAAGGCUGAGAGCAGCUCGCCAGCCAGGGCUCCCCGGCCGCUCUGAUCAAACACCACUCUGCCGCCUCUUCUUGACUGGUUCCCCCAGCGCAGGCCAGAAACAGCUGAUCAAACACAUCAGGACAAGGUUGAAACCUCUGUGCUCCACACAGGGUCCAGACCAAAGCCAGCAUUUGCAGAGAGGCCAGGGCUGCUGCUGCCUGUGAGGCCAGGGAAAUGAAGCGAAAUGUGCAUGCACGCAUGACUGUGUGGGGGUGAGAGAGAUGUCAGAGCACUUUUCCAUCAUUUACUUUCGUGACCCUGGCAGCAAUGCUCUGAGACUGGAGGGGCACGAAUUAUUUGGCAAAUGAAGAACUCGAGGUUCCAGGAGGCCACGUUGCUCCAUCUCAAAGAGCUCCACCUCCAUCGUGACUGAUCCUGAUAAUUAUGACGAUCCUGUUAUCCUGUUUACAUAUGAGUACACUGAAGCUCAAAAGGGUUGAGAAACUUGUCCAAGCUAGGUGGGCUUUUGCUGGAGGAGUCACGGUGGUGUAAAUACAAAAUGCCCCGUUCUUGCUCCUGUUCCUCUCCAGCUCCAGAGCAGAGCUAACCUGAAAUUAGCAGGUACCACAGGGCAGCCGGCACGCCCUCUCCCUCCCGGCUUUUGAGAAGACACCAUCACAGGAAGCAUGCUGCCUGGGCUCCAGUGGCUGUCUGCGUGGAGGGCUGGCCAGCUGGCAUGUUCUUGGGGCAGGCUCACCUUUGGAUAUUUGUGGCUUUCUGACAUUGCAGGAGAAGGCACUUACCUCAAUUAAACACAUUUUUAA